GACGAACGCUGGCGGCGUGCUUAACACAUGCAAGUCGAACGGAAAGGCCACGUUGGUGGUCCUCGAGCGGCGGACGGGGGCGUAACACGUAAGUAAGCUGAACUUGACUUUGGGAUAACUUCAGGAAACUGGGGCUAAUACCGGAAAGGGAUAAUUUCUGCAUGGUGGGGGUUGGAAAGCUUCGGCGGGUUUGGAUGGACUUACGGGUUAUCAGCUUGUUGGUGGGGUAGUGGCUUACCGAAGCGUUGGCGGGGAGCCGGCCUGUGAGGGCGACCGGCCACACUGGGACCUAGGUACGGCCCAGACUCCUACGGGAGGGAGCAGUGGGGAAGAUUGCACAAGCGGCGGAGGGCGGAUGCUGCAGCGCCGCGUGCGGGAUGACUGUCUUAUGGUUGUAAACCGAUUUCAUCAGGGGCGAUGCUUGUGGUGACGGUACCUGCAGAAGAAGCACCGGCUAACUACGUG
rnacentral:rRNA from 1 species